UGUAGAACCCAGAGGAGCCUGUUUCUCCUGGUAGUUUUCUUUCAGUCCCUGGGAAACUCAGCAAAAAGUCCGCUUGCAGAGAUACGCCUUGGACUCAGCCUCUGGCAGUCCAUCAGAGGACUAGACUUCUGAGGGCCCUGUUGUAAGAAUUUCUGCUGCAGAUCACAGAGACUUACAUCCUGGAAACUGAUACCAGAAGCACCCCAGCUGGUCUUAACUCCUGGGAGAGAACAGAAGACCAAAGGAAUGAGAACCUCCAAAGUGACUUGUAUCUUAAGAAGAUGUUUGAAGAGAUGUCCAAGAUCUGUCAAAGGCAGAAGGAGAAGGUGCUCAAUUUUUUAAUCUGUGUUAGGAUCCAGGAGGCUCUCCUGGGUGAAGGUCUGUGCUGCAGCCCCUCCUCACCCUGUUCUGACUGCUGUAGGCCUCUCACAGAUUAACUAAGACACGUUUGCUCAUUUUGUACUACUCUCUCGCCUCCAUGUAUUAACUGCAAAAGGACAUCAGGAAUUCUGAAUUCCCAGAUCUUCACCUGUGAAGAAUGUAAGAUCUAUUCCAGACCAAACAACCUCUAACAUCAAGGUGGAGAUUAGCAGACAUACGAUUGAUUUUUAUUUUAUAACACAUGCCUAUUUCAUUGUAAUGUUCUUUACAUUUUCCCAACAUUCAUAAUUUUUUUAAUGCAUACCAAUUAUAGACCAAAUAAAAAUUAAAUUAUGGAGUGUAAAGAAAAUUUAAAAGUUGACCUUGAUGUUGUACACUGACAUUUCAAUCUGCAGAUUUUGAACAGAUGUUUUUAUAGAAAAAAAAAUAGAAAUACAAUUGAACAAAAUAUCUAAACAAAUCAUAUAUCAUCACCGUCAAAUCAUUUAGCCUGUCACUAAAGGCUGCAUCAAAUUGAUGUAUUUUACCAGCCAAGCAUAAAAUAAGAAGAGUCAUUACAUAGUUGAGAAUCAACUGCAUACAUUUUAUACUUGUGAGAUUAUGUUACUUCUGAAUUUUGAUGUGUGAAUAGCCAAUUAUAAUUACUUUGCUUUUAAAAAAUAUCUGAACAUUGUAACGAAUUUUAUAGGAAUCAUUUUUUCAUGUAAUAAAAAUAAUAAUAUAAUACUGUAUAUAAAUUUCUUAAGAAAAUACCUUGGCUAUAUAUAUUAAAUGUGUCCUUACAACAGCCAGUCAGCAUAAAUCAAAUUCAAAACCUAACAUGACAACGCAGUAGGGAUAUAAAACCCUCUUAUAAUGUUUUCUCUAAGAGUGUUUAUUUUAAUUUUGUUCUUACUAUUUGUUGGGUUUAAUUCAUUAUCUUCAUUUACAUUGUGCAUAGACUUACGAAUUGUAAAUAUUCUUGAUAGGUUUGAAGAAUUAGUAUUUUGAUUGUAUUAAAGCAUAAUGAUCUGACAUUUAAUAUAGCCAUUAAACAAAUUCUUUAUAUUUCAACGAACAUAAAGAAAACAAAUGGAGAAUCAUUUUAGGAGGCUUGCAUGGUCUAUAUUAGGAAAAAAAAAGAGUUCUCUGGCCCCCUACACCCAGUGACUGAAUCAUAAAAGAAAUAUGUACGUUGAUAAUAGCAGUUACUGCAGCAAUAAAAACAUGAUAAAAGAUUCUUCGACAGUAUGAAACCUUGGAAGCUGUGCCAAAUAUAAAAUCCAGUCUGUAGGCACUGGCACUCUCCUGCCAUCUUUGGGGUUUCUGACAACUUCUGGCUCAUCCCCUUAAGUCUAAGUUAUCUAUAAAAAUGCCUUAGUUUCCAAGAGCAACCAGAAUGAUUUGAACUUUAAAUACACUUUCAAAAGAAAGCUACAGUAGCAUUUGCAGAGAAUCUGCUGUAGUAUCACUUUGUACGUGGAUAUAUGUUUUUGAAGUUUAUCAGCCCAUGUGAGCUGACUCAAAACUAUGUUCGUUUUAAACAUGAUAAUCUUGGCCACUGAUUUCAGUGGCAUUUUUUGAUUUGUUUCUUUUUAUAAGAUGAAAAUUCACAGAAAGAAACUUUAGAUGCUGAUGAUUCUUCCCAUAUUUUCUCAACUUAUGGAGUUCAUAAGAUAAUAUUUAAUAAGCUCCUAACCCUAAUAAUCUCUCCAGGCUCUUAAACCUUCUUACUAUGGUAGGCCUCCACUGCCCUCCCCCGACUCAUGCCAAAGCAUCAGAACUUGGAAAUAAUUCUUACUGGGUUACAUAACUUUUGACUACUUUCUGUAUUUCUUCUUGGAACUCUUCAGAAACAGAACUGAAAGAAGAAAUGAGAUGCACAACAGCAUUGUGUCUUUGCCAUAAACAUCACCAGAACUACGUCCAUUUCAAAAAAGAGUGAUUUCUUCCCAUGCUUUCUAAGUGGGAAACAUUGUUUCAUUGAGAUGACUGCUAGGCUCAGGGGCAACUAAUGUAAGCAAGAUUAAAUGACCUAAACAGAAACCUACCUAGAAGGCAAUGGUGAGCCCUCCUUUUUCAUUCUGUUCCCACAGGAUCCUAUCCAUCCACUCGGAUGGCUGGCAAACAGCACACUGUGUCUUUCAACACACACACGCACAAUGUCAGCAGUGAUGCGUGGAAAUGCUCAUACAGUUAUUCUUAACUUUUAAUAUUAUAAAUGUUUUCUUUAGGUUGGAUCCUGAUUAAUUUUUACCCAAAAUAAUACAUUUCCUUUAACUUUUACAUCUAAAAAUGUUGAAAAUGCCUACUCCUAUUUUUCCCACUCCAAUUAUGAACUUGUUAAGCACAUAAAAAUACACCGUCACACACAUAAACACACACCUAUUUUCUCAAGGCAAAACAAAAUGUGCUUUUUUUUUUUCAGUUAAGGAGUUACUAAAGUGAUUCCCAGUAUUUUAGUGCCUUAUCUUAAAAAAAAAAAUGCUUGUCACUGCAAUGUGUCCAAAGUUGUGAGCAUAGAGCAGCAGAGAGUUCAUCUGAUCAAAAUUUAGAGACUAUCAGGGUUGGAAAAAACUAUAUACUUAUCUUGUUGAGCCACACUCCAACAGUGGGAUCUGCAUGAUAAUAUCCUGGCCAAGUAGUCACUAUUGUAAGCAUGCACAUCUCCGGGAAAAAGGAAAAUAAGAGAUACUCUCAACACAAACUAUUACUAGAAGACAUUUAUUUAUUAAUAGUAUUAUUACAAUUGUUUCUAAAAUCAUUAUUAUUUCAAUGAUGAAGAGGUUAAUUGCCAGAUUAACCUCAGUCAGACAGUUAUUACAGUUGGCUUGUGAGUAAAUUCCAAAAAACUUCCACCAACUAUAAUCCUGUUAUAGUAUAAGUAAAUACAUUAAAACUUGAUGGAGAAGCUGCAUGAAUUGGCAACAUUUUAUAUCAUUAAAAGACAAUCUUUGAAAGCCUGAAACUGAUGUUUGCAUAGAGCUGCAGAUAUUAGAAAAAUCUUUCACAUCAAAAGCUUAUUUUAUCACAUUCUUUUUGAAAAUCUAUCUCACAGAUCCAGAUAUGUAUUGUUUAUAUCAAGUGAUAUUUGUACUUAAAUAUAAUUUUAGACAGUUAAAUAUAAAUUCAUGUUUACUUUCAUAUAAAAAUAUAUAUAAAAAUAGACUUUUAAGGAGUUGGAUAUUCAUACUAAGGAACUGAUCAAUAGAAAUGUUUUGUUUUUUGUAUGGUAAUGAAAUUGAGGUAUUUGUACAUUUGGUAUUUUCAGCCAUGUAUUGAAUUAACCCUCUCAGCAUUAUUUUUAUGAAAAGAAGGAUAAGCCUUUAAAAACCCGGUAACUGUGUGAUGUUAUCUCACAACAAAACCUUUGUAAAAUAUAUUUACUAUUUUGAAAUUGAAAUAUAGAAGAGAAAGUUCUCAAUGCUAGAAUUUGAUAUGUUUUAUAUGUAUGCCACAGUUUUAAUAAAAAAUAGUUUUAUGCCUGUUUUAAAUUUGGAUUAGAUACAGUUGCCCAGGAA